UGUAAAUAUAGUUUAAGAAGAACACUAGAUUGUGAAUCUAGCAGUAAGAGAUCAAAACUCUUUACUUACC
rnacentral:tRNA from 1 species